ACUUUCAUCUUCACCAGCCCUUAAACUACCCUGCCUGUUCACACGCCUGAAACCCAAGCGCGCAUUUUGGAGACGAGCCCUAAAGUGGGAAGGGAUUCUUUCCUUUGUCCUGUCCAAACACGUGGUGAAUGAAAAGUUGGAGUCUUCCCCUCUCUGUCCUUCGUGUGUUUGUGUCUGAGAGGAGGAGGAGGGGGUCUCAAGCAGGCAAUGCCUUGUUUCUGCCGGCCAAAUGAGGGAGAUCCGGAUUAAAGAAAUAGAUUAAAAUUGGCCCGCAGCCAGUGACUGAAAUCUACAAGAUGGUUUCCAAAUCCUGGAAGCGGGAGAUCUGGAAUUAAGGAGAGAUUCCCCGUAAAACUCGUCGCCACAGAGCACGUUUUAGUUUUCAGAGAUCUUCUGUGCUUGGGAGCUCAAUCCAGUGUGGCUGCUCUCCAAACUACAGAUGCCUCCAAGAAUUUGUGAUCUCUUCACAAGCCGAACAUCGCUCAAGGAGGAGAAGUCCAGUGAAUGACAUGUCUGAAGUAGAUUGGAGGUGUGCAUGAAACAGGAGCUUUUGGUCACCAGAUCCAAUAUCGUGCAAAGAAACAUCUUUGAAUGGAGAUUUGUUUAAACCACCAAAGCUGUGAAUGACACGGGUAACAUUUAACUUCCUGUCAAAGGUUACGCCAUGGUGGAUUGGUUCAUAACCCAGCGUGUGCUGAGCCAACCUCUACUUCAGGCAGAGCAUCGAUUUCCUAACUGAUGAUGGCAGUGAAUCUUUGAUGAUAUUGGCUAUAGUUCCCACUCCCAUUGUCUGUGAACCAGAACAGGAGCGAGUCGAAAGAGUGCAGCAAACAGCACCCGGUGAACCUGCCGCUGAAGCAUUGGGAUUUCUGAAGAGUCGACCAGUGAAUUAUUGGAGUUUUGAUUUGUUUAGUUUAGAGAUACAGGGCCUUGGCCCGCCUAGUCCGCAGCGACCAACCAUCACACGUAAAUUUGUUCUAUCCUACACACAGGGGACAAAUUACACCAAUUAACCUACAAACCUGCACAUCUUUGGAACAUGGGAGGGAACUGGAGCACCUGAAGAAAACACACGUGGUUACAGAGAGAACGUACGAACUCUACAGUCAGCACCCAUAGUCAGAAUUGAAGCCAGGUCUCUGGCGCUGUAAGACUGCAACUCUACCGCUGCACCACUGUGUAUUAGGAUUGCCUCCCUGAGGGUAAUUAAUUUUUGUCCUUGAGGAUGGUAGAGGUCAGAUCUUUUGCGUGAUGCACUUCUUUGCUAUGUUGAGCUUAGGAGCUUGCUGAUGCACAGCAGGAUCACACAUGGUGACUGUAUUAAAGAGACAAUGCUGCACUGUAUUUGGGGCAGAAAGCUUUUUGCGAGAGACUUAAGACAUAAAGUAAUAGAGUAACUCAGAGGCUCAGGCAGCAUCUCUGGAGAACGUGGGUAGGUGAUGUUUCAGGUCGGAACCCUUUUUCCGACUGAUUGGGGGUGGAAUGAAGCUGAAAAAGAGGAGGUGCAGGACAAAGCCUGGCAAAUUAUAUGGAUACCAGCGAGGGUUUUUUGGAUGUGUGUCCAGGUGGGGCAGAGGAGGUGUGGGUGGGGUCCAAGUGUUCAGCAAAACAGUGGCCGGGUCUAAGCCUGAUCUCGCCAAUGUAAAGGAGGCCACAUCGGAAACACCGAGUGCAGUAGAUGAGGUUCGAAGAGCAUUCAGUACCGUGAUGACUGAAUUGGAAAGUUUGGUCUCCUGAGCAGACUAACAAUCCUCAUAUUGCACAGAAAAACCCUUCAGCAUCCAUUGUGGUUGUCCUUUCAAACUGGAUCUGUACUUGUAGGAUAGCACAACCCUGAGUUCUGGUGGUUUCAUCUGUCCUCUGACUGCUUGUGUCACUGUUGGGCACUCUAAUGUUUUUGAAUUUAUUCAUCUUCUGCAGCCAAAUAAAAGCCCAUAGAAGCAGUGGUCGGUCUGAAGUCUGACCGCUUUUCUCUCGUGUUUCCUGUGGAUGUCGUGCAGAGUCCCAUGAAGACGAGGGGACAAGAAACCCAGCAGGUACAAAAGCAUAGAAAAUGGAUCUCAUCUCAACUCCAUCCUGACCAUCCGUCACCCGUUCACACUAGUGACGUUAUCGCACAUUGUCGUCAACGCCAUACACAGCAGAGGCAAUUUACAGAGGCCAAUUACCUUGUAAACCUGAAUGUCUUUGAGAUGUGGGAGGAAACAGCAAUACCCGGAGGAAUCUCGCAUGGUCUCAGGGAGACAGCAGACAGACAGCACCCAAGGUCAGGAUAGUACAUAUGCAUCUUGCGCCAUGACACAGCAGCUCUACCAGCUGCGUCACUAUGCCGCCCAGUUGCCGUUUGGCAUUAGGACUGAAUUUGUUGUCCUGUUUUGAAGUUUUAUAUGAGCUUCCUAGAUCCUAGAUGUUUUCAAUGGGCGAAUCUCCAGCUCCUGCCACCCUGUAAACAUUUUGGAGCUGCCUCUGUUACGUUCUGCUACAUAAAAGACAUUUGGACAGGGAUAUGAAUUGGGAAAAUAGAUGAAUGUGGGCCAGAAAAAUGGAAAUGAGACCAGCUUAACUCGGACAUCUUGAUCAUCAUGGACAUUGGGCAGAAGGGCCGGUUUCUGUGCUGUAUUCCUCGACACCAGACCCGUAGCACUGCUGAGGGUAUACCCUGCUACAACCUGCUAUAUUGUGCUGUAACCAUGGAGCGCGUACGAGGAGCUGAGGACCUUGCCCCUGUUUUGUGUAGGUUGGGAUGGGCAGCAGUAUUUGCGGCUGCUUUGAUAUUGCACUUGUCCCGGCCUAAACAGAUCAAGAGGAAGUAGUCGCCAUGCCGUGUUUGUGAGGAGCUAUCAAUGAGCUGGUUAGAGGUGAGCCAAGAGGUCUCGGUUUGCUUUCUCCCUCGGUUCUUGAGAUAGCAAUUCAUCCACCAACUGGCCCCACCGUUGAUUCCCUCCUCCCAUACACUUGCUCCUCUCCACCUGAAUCCCUACCAUGCUCCAACAUGAUGCAUCAGAAGUACUUAAUUGAUUUUUGAAUCGGAUUUCAACAUCCCGAAGUUUAACUGUCCCACCGGCCCCUCACUGUUUUCCUCUUGUGCAUUCUGCAUGCUGGUCUUCCUCCUUGCUUUUCUUUCUUUGUUCCCUCUUAUUUUCUGCUGUGCCUUUUAUUAAGACUAUCCAGUGUUGAGAGGCGGAGACUGGAGCAAUUGCUGGGUUUCCCAUGAAGCAUUGCACUUGUCUCGGUCCGACAGUGCUGGUACAACACCACGUCUCAGGGCUCCUGCUUGGCCAGUUCUAUCCCUUUCUUACCACUAUCUUACCCACUGGCUUCCAGAGGCAGCUUAGAUGAGUGGUCGACAUUGCCCAACUGAUCUGGAGUAGAUCAGGGUUGCAGUGUAGCAGGUGAGCUGUUUCUGAUGGGAUGGAGAGCUGCAUAAAGAGAAAUAGCAUGAAACUGGUCCCUUUAACACAUUGGCUAUUGAGUGUCAUUCUUUAAACUAACCCUACCCAACCCCAGUUUUUUACUUCUCUUAACAUUCCCAUCAACUCGCUCCAAAUUCUACAUGCGGUACAGCGGUCAAAUAACGUACCGAACCUGCACAACUUUGGAAUGUGGGAGGAAACCAGAGCACCCAUGUGAAAAUCACACAGUCCCAGGGAGAACGUGCAGACUCCACCCAGACAGCUCUGAGGUCAGGAAUGAACCCAGGUGUCUGGAGCUGUGAGUCAGCGGCUUUUCUAGCUGCACCACUGCUAAACUCACUUUGUGCUCUGUCCCCAGCUGCCCAUGUGGUGCCUUUCUGGUAAAAGGAAAUAUUUGGGCAUGAGUUGAAUUGGUAUACAUGUUUGAAGAUGCAUUGAUAUAAGCAAGUUUUUUUUUUUCCCCCUCCGAUACUGGCUUACAACUUACCCUCUCCUACCUUCAGUGUCUCCACACUUAGUUUAGUUUAGAGAUACAGUGCAGGAACGCCUUUCGGCCCACCGGGUCCACGCCGGCCAGUAAUUCCCGCACAGUACCACUCCUACACCCACUAGGGACAAUCUUUUUUUUUUUACAUUUACCAAGUCAAUUAACCUACAAACCUGUACGUCUUUGGAGUGUUUGUGACCGUGACUCUUGGGUAUUGUCCCAGGUAUAGAUGAGCAACUUACUGUACAGGCCUUGCAAGUAACCUGAUAAAAUGGGGUGUGUAUCUUCUUGGAACUGACUAUCGCUGUCUCAUGGAAAAGAUGGGGAGCGGGAGAUCCAAGUUGCCAUAAUUAUGGUCCAAUUCCUAAAAGCCCAUUGUUUUGUAUUCUGGACUGGAACUCUGCUUUGUCAGCUACAGGGUAAGAUCAGAGAUUGUGCCAAGCUGCUCCACUACUGGUUUGUGUUGUGAUUUAAUGAGUAGAAAAUCAGGGCAUACUUAAUAAAUGUUGAUUUAUCAAAACCUUAAAAGACUCUUGCUCUUCUUUUACAACUUAUGCAGAUUGGCUGCUGAAACCUGUGUAACUUUGAAAGAUGAUGGUUAAAUAUUUAAUUACUAGAUGAAUAGUGUGUGAAAAGAAUCACUGAAUCGAUCCUUGUAAAACAUAUCAAGCAAUCACGAUAAAUGUCCACUGAUUUUCGUUCUCGCUAUGAAAUUAAAUGCAAAGCAAUAAGAACAGGCCACUGGGGAGAGGCAGACAAAUAUGAACCAAAUUCUGCAGACCAUUGUGUCAUCUGGAUAAACCACAGAUACCACACUAUGACCUGGAGUAUACAUUUUCAGGCAGUAUUUCUGCUACUGGACUUGUAUUCCAGGGAUAUUAGCACAUAAGAUGGAAACUGGCUCUUAAUUCCACCAUGAUGCAUUCACUAAAAUGCAAUCUAAAUUAACCCUGUUUAUGUCACUCUUCCCUGUCUAUUUGUGUGCCUGUCCAAAUGCCUCUUAAACGUUGCUCUCAUAUAUGCUUCCACCACUUCCCCUGGCAGAGUGUUCCAGGUAUCUAACACUGUGUUUUCUUAAAACUUGUCAGACCCGGGUGUUAGAAGAUAGAAAAAGUCUAGCACAGGAACGGGCCCUUCAGCCCAACAUGUCUGCUGACUACUAUGUCAAAUUAUAUCACUCCUAUCUGCCUGAUCAUGAUCCAUAUCCCUCUAUUCCCUGUCUGUUCAUGUGUCUGGCUGAAUGUCUCUUAAACAUUGUUAUCAUAUCUGCAGCUUCUACCUCCCCUCGCAGUGUUUUACAGGUGCUUCUGUGUAAAAUAAAAUGUAUUAUAAAUUUAUUUUUAAAUUAUCCCCUUCUUACUUUAAACCUAUGCCCUCUAGAAUGUGCCAUUUCCUCUCUGAGAAUGACUGUACACUUCUAUCCGAUCUCUCCUCUGAAUCUGAUGCUUCUGCAAAACCAACUGCAAAGCUUGUCCAGCCUCUCAUUAUACACUCCUGCACUAUCUCCAAAGCCUGCAAUGUGGCUUAACCAAAGUUCUGACCAGCUGCAACAUUGCUUUGCCAACUUUUAUACUCAAUGCCUAUCCCAAUCAUGUAUGCCCUUUUUAUUUUAACGUGUUGCCUUUUUCAAGAAGCUAUAGACUUGCAUUGCAGGAUCGCCCCUCAAUGACAUUGCUAUUUACUAUAUU